rnacentral:rRNA from 1 species
GAGUUUGAUUAUGGCUCAGAACGAACGCUGGCGGCGCGUCUUAAACAUGCAAGUCGAACGGCAAGAGAAAAGCUUGCUUUUCUCCUAGAGUGGCGGACUGGUGAGUAACACGUGGGUGACAUACCUUUUAGUUGGGGAUAGCUGCUAGAAAUAGUAGAUAAUACCGAAUGUGACCGCAUCUGGUAAUCAGGUGCGAGGAAAGGAGCUAAGGCUCCGCUAGAAGAUCGGCUCGCGGCCCAUUAGCUUGUUGGUGAGGUAACGGCCCACCAAGGCAAUGAUGGGUAUCCGGCCUGAGAGGGUGAACGGACACAUUGGGACUGAGAUACGGCCCAGACUUCUACGGGAGGCAGCAGUUAAGAAUAUUCCGCAAUGGACGCAAGUCUGACGGAGCGACGCCGCGUGGAUGAAGAAUGCCGAAAGGUUGUAAAAUCCUUUUAAGCCUGAUGAAUAAGCAAAGGAGGGAAUGCCU